AAAAAAAAUUUUAAAAAUAAAUAAAGUUGGAAGGGAGAUGUGCUUGGAGCACUAGGGGCUUUGACAGAGAUGAUAGUGGAUGCAUCUGUUUAAUUCAUAGUGAAUGAAUGUAUAAAACUGCCAAUGAAUAAAAUGUAUUAUUGAAAAUAAAUUAAAAUAUAGAGUUCAUUUCCUUCCAACUUAUCAGUAAAUUUGAAUGUCAUCUAGAGACAGGUGUUAGUCCGUGUUCAUUGCUUUAGUGUUUAAUGCAGACUUUCUAAAUUAAAACUUCUUGUGAACCCCCGGCUCAUGCUUUCAGGCAGUCCUUGCUAGCAGAUUCCCAGUUCCAAUUGGUUCUGACACAGAGCCUGGAACAUCUGAAAUGUACUAGCCACAGAAGCCUCCCUGGGAAGGCCCUAAGUGAGUUGGUCUGAGCAGUUUAGGCAGGAAGAGAGAAUGACUAUACUUCAAUGCUAAGAUGAAAAGGAUGUUGUGUUUAUCUGGUGAAGUACAUAGUGUGAAGAGCCAAUAUUCACACCAUUAUAUUUGGAAAAUAAGCAAGUGGGUGGACUAAAAGAAGAAGGACCCAUUCUUCUUGGCCUAAGUCAAGAAUGAGAGAGAAGGCAGAAAGAUGGAGGAAGAGUGGCCUUCCCUUAGGUAUGGAACAUUCUGAUGAACUCAUCUUCCCAACUUCCACCUUUUCUCUAGCCUCUGGCAUUCUUUUUUUCUUUUCAGUUUAAUUGGACUUUCUUCUAGAUUUUCUGCCUACCCUGCAGCAGAUGUAUUUAACUGAAGCAAUUCUCUAUGGCAACUGGGAGACCGACGGAGAAGACAGGUGACAUGUUUGGAGAUGCUUUUGUUGUUGCAGCCGGAGAAAGGAGUGCUGCCAGCAAGGAGUGAGUGGAGUCAUCCUUGCCUGUGAGCAAGCAUGCUGCAGUGCACACGACUGCUCCCUCUUCUUCCUCAUCCAGGGAUGACAUAGCUUAAAAAAACCCAGCAGUUCCAAGAUCUUGAGAAAUGCUUGAAGAAAACUAGACAACAGACACCAUGACAGUAGCUCCAACUAUUUUUUUUGUCCCUUAAAAAGUCUACUUUGUAACAAUAUUCUUUCUAAAAGGCAUGAAACAGACGGGAAGAAGGAAGCAAAGGUGAAAGGGAAAGAAAAUGGGAAAAAGAAAGGAAAAGAAGGUAACAGAUGCCUAGGUGACACACAGAUAGACUCAGGCUUCAGUAACUUGAAGUUGUCACAAAUCAUAUUGUAUAGAGUUUUACAAAUACUGAGAAUAUGCAAAGAGAAAUUCUGUUUUUGUUUUAAAACUGGAUGCUGCUUAUGUCACAGAUCCUAAUUUUAUAAACUCAUUUUAUAGGGCAUCUGCAUAGGCAACAACAAACAGAAAUAGUUUGUAACUAAAUGACAUUUGUUUGUAAAUAAAUGUAUUGUUUUAGAACAACUGGUGCUUAGGAUAUGAAAUGAAAGGUGCCUCAGUGAUAAAACUAACCAGCAUCUGCUCAUUCAUCAGAAAUCGAAACGCUGGCAAAACUCAAGUACCACAGAGCUCCAUAUGGAAAAUGAGAAAAAGAAGUUAUGAAAACAGAUGAAAACACCCAAUAUACCAGACAGGAUGCUGAAUAUUCAGAGCUUUAGUUCCAGGAGUAACAGCCUCCUCCUGAAACAGCUCUUCCUCCUGUGGUCCAUCCCUCCUGGAAGUUCCUGAGCACAGAAAUAACGUCAGUGCCCAAGAAAAGAGAAAGUGGAGAAAUAAGGCAGAUUUCUUAUGGAACCAGUCUUUGAGGCGAAUACUGGCAAGUUAGUGGCCAUCCCAUCAUAUGUUGGCUCAAAUGACAAAGGGCCAUCACAGCUCAUCCAUUUAUGAUAAAAUAAGGAAGCCACAACUUAAGGGAGAGGAGAAAAUGCUCCAGAGUCAACAUCAAGAUGAAUGAGAUGUUCUAACAAAACACAGUGUCAGUGGGGAAUAUUUACCCAGCUUAGAAAAUGAAAGCUGUCUGAGGGACCUAACUAGAAGUUUCAUCUUCCAUUUUUCUCCCAUAGUGGCAGAGCCACGUUGACUCUGGUGAACUGUGACCAGCUCCUGCAUCAUUUUUUUUCUCUGCUUGCCAGUUUGUACAAUUUUUUACUCUUUUAUCAAGACAUUUGCAAUGUAUUGAAACCUGCUCUCACAGGCUCAUUUUGCUAACUCACCUUGUUUCAGACUUUCUAAAUCUAGUUGCAGGGGUGAGGGUUACAGAAAAGAGUUUUGGGGUGGGUGCAUUGCAGCUUAUAAUUGAUUUGAUAAUGUCUUUAACAGAUACAAAGAAAGACAAAUAAGUCAUGUCUCUUUUUCCAGCACGCAAGGGGCUAAAUGUGAACAUUGUAAAUUUGAGGCCAGCCUAGGUUUCUGCCUCAAAAAUAAGGGCAGGAGCUGUGGUUUGAAGGUAGAAUGCUUGUUUUAACAUGUGUAAAGCCAUGGGCUUGAUCCUAGCAACACAGAAAAGAAAGAACUACUUCUUGUACUGGCUUAGAUGCAUACAUACAUUUUCAAAAAAAAAAUCAGUAAAUGAGAUCUGAAAAGACAUGAGUAAUCUUAUUACAAUGGAAGUGGAGAGGAUGCGAAGGUCAGAAACCAAGCAAACAGCCUUUUAAUUAUAUUUCAACCUAGUGCUUGCCUUAGUUUGAUUUCUGUUGCUGUAAUAAACACCAUGGUCAAAAGCAACUUGUUUUUUUUUUUUUGUUUUUUGUUUUUUUGGAUUAUAGGUUACAGUCCAUCAUGAAGUCCAAUUGCCAAGGCAAUUUAUAGAAGGGAGGUCAGGGCAGGAUCCUGAAGGCAAUAAGACACAGGCUGCUUUCUUAUUAGUUUAUUCCCCUUGGUUCACUUAGCUUCUUGCUUUGUUUUACAACCCUGGACUAUUUGCCCAGGAAUAACAAUGGCCACAGUGGGUUGAGCUCUCUCACAUCAAUCAUUAUCAAGGCAAUGUUCUACAGACUUGCUGUAGGCCAAUUUCUUGUGAUUUCUUCUGUCUAGGUGACUCUAGCUUGUGUUGAGAUGACAGAAAACUUAUCAGCACAGUGUUCAAUGUCCUAGACACUGUACAGCUAUGAACAAGACACAGCAGAUAUGUUAUUAUUAGGGUCAUUAUUAUAGGGUAUGUUAUCAGGAAGGGUUAAAUUAACGUGUUCUAGUUUGUAGUAAACCUGAGUACGUUAAAAUCACAGGACAUCUACAAGAUGCUCCUGAAAUUUUCUGAAUUCCUCCAGGUGUCUAGAUAAAAGAACAACAGCAUAUAAAUUCAGUCACAUUUGUACAUAACUAGAGGGAGCAUAUGGAGACCAAAAUUAAAAUUAUUACAAUAUUUACAACUGCUCUAAAAGUGAAAUACACAAGGAUAAACCUAACAAACACGUUUAGAAUCUACAUACAGC
rnacentral:lncRNA from 1 species